UACGUAGGGGGCAAGCGUUGUUCGGAAUUACUGGGCGUAAAGGGCGCGUAGGCGGCACGGCAAGUCAGGAGUGAAAGCCCUGGGCUCAACCCGGGAACUGCUUUUGAAACUGCCGAGCUAGAGUGCGGAAGGGGCAACUGGAAUUCCCAGUGUAGCGGUGAAAUGCGUAGAUAUCAAGGGGAACACCUGAGGUGAAGACGGGUUGCUGGGCCAACACUGACGCUGAUGCGCGAAAGCCAGGGGAGCAAACGGG
rnacentral:rRNA from 1 species